CAGACAAUGUAAUAGAGCAGCAGGAAAUGCAAGCAGAAUGCUUGGUUGUAUAGGGAGAGGUAUUAGCAGUAGAAAGAGGGAAGUGCUCAUGCCAUUGUACAGAACACUGGUGAGAUCUCACUUGGAGUAUUGUACACAGUACUGGAGACCGUAUCUUCAGAAGGAUAUUGAUACCUUAGAGAGAGUACAGAGAAGAGCUACUAAACUGGUUCAUGGAUAAAACUUACCAAGAAAGGUUAAAGGAUCUUAACAUGUAUAGCUUGGAGGAAAGACGAGACAGGGGG